rnacentral:tRNA from 1 species
GCGUCAGUGUCCGAGUGGUCUAAGGAGGUGGUCUUAAGAUCCACUAUGUUAAUGCAUGCGUGGGUUCGAACCCCACCUGGCGUA